UUCCCUGCGUGCCAGCUCCUGACAAGCUGUACUAAAUGUUCUUUUCUGGCCAUGGCAAUUUCCUUCCCAGCAGCUCUCACCCAAAGUGCGAGGGGCAGCAGCAGAAGGGGACAUUGCCAUCCUGACUAUUCCCACAGAAUCAGGAGCAAGAACGUUUCUGAGGGAUAACAGGUUGUUUUGGCGAGUAAUCAACUGUAAAGGUGAUGAACAGCUGAUAUAAAUACAGUCUCCAGAAGCAAAGCCAUUCUCCAAGUUAGUGAGCGACAGCCUGUGCCCUAAAGAUGGGUGAGCAGCAACGAUGGAUCUACCCAGGACUCCUCCCAGGGAUCCUGACAGCCCUGCUUGCAUUUUAGUGAGUGACCUGCUGGUUCAAAGUGCUGCAGUGAAUCCUGAGAGAAGGCAGAGUGAGAGCUGAAAACCAGAAAUGUAUGGUCCAGGAAGAUUUUGGCUGUAAGCAGAAAGAGUGAGGGAGGAAGAUCCCUUUUGUUUCUUGCUGAUAAAUCUGACUGAAUUGAGAGGGUCCUGUCAGACAGGGAAGCCCAAAAUCUCAAGGUGGAAGGAUUUUUAACCUCUGCUGGUUUCUCUCAAUUUCUAGCUAACCUUCUCUUAAUAUGCAUUUUCUAAAAACUUUCAAAAGCAUAUUUGCAGUUUAGAGGGUGCUGCCUAUGCUCCUGCCUGAUUUGUAUCUGAUAAAGAAUGGACACGUUUAUGUGUGUUUCUGGUGUAGGCUCAGAUUCAAUUUCCUGUUCACAAAUACACAUUUGCUUGGCUUAGAUCUUGAUUUCCCUUUGCAUAACACCUGCACAGCUCAGAAAUUGGCUUCUGUUAGAAUUCAAGAAAACCUCAAAGAAUCUCUGUUCCUGGGAAUAUCUGAGAGAGAAGGGAUGAUAGAUUGUGCCUGGUUGUCUCGUGUUGUUUUGAUAUCUGUAGCCUUUUGUGGACAGUGUUAAUUUAAAUAUGUCUGGGGAUAUGAAACUCUUCUGUUUGUGGAAAUUAAUCCCUUACAUGAUCUAAUACAAGAAGACCUGGAGAGUCUGUACAAAAGUGUGCAACUUCCACAUAGGUCAAGAAAAUAUAGGACUUAUUUUUCUGUGUCAUGUCAAAAAUCUUACUCAGGAAAAUGAGCCACCCCAGAGGGGCUGCUCCUCUGGGUCAUAUGCACAAGCUUUGAUUCCUAUUCUCAUUUUUAAUCAAAUAAUUUUCCUGUCAAUCUGUAGUAAUCUGGUUUUUAUCCGAGUUUCUUUCUUGUAAAUCUGGUAAUUGAGAAGCAAAUUAAAUAUAUGUUAAUGUUUCAGUUACUGGGUUCAUGGACCUUAAGGAAGGACUAUUUUUGGACUAGCUAAAUUAAUAAUUCUUGAAUGACUUCUGUUGAAAUGACAGUGCACUCUGGAACUGAGGUUUGUUUGCUGUGGAUGACAGAUGUGAUGGAGGUAAAACAAUGCUUUGGAGUCAUUAAAAUGAGCAGUGACAGUAUGACAAUCCUUCUCAUCAGAUUGGUGAGGCAGCCAAUUGUUGUUUUAAGGGAUGACGGUUUUUCUGUGACCAUCCUGGUAUGUCCAGCAAGAAAUCCCACCUGGGUAAAUCUGCUGACCUUCUGCCCAGAGGAGAAGGAGAGGCGAAGGUCUGUCAGAGCCACACUCACACUCACACUCACCCUCACCCUCACACUCACGCUCAUGCUCACACCACAGUCUGAGUGAGUCUAACAAUCCUCCUCAUUCCCCACUCUCAGCAGGCAGCUCUGUCUCCUGCCAGUGCAGAA